AGGGGCGUAGUUCAAUUGGUAGAGCGUCGGUCUCCAAAACCGAAUGUUGGGGGUUCGAGUCCCUCCGCCCCUG
rfam:Plesiomonas shigelloides 302-73 genomic scaffold scaffold00002, whole genome shotgun sequence.